UGGAGGAGCAUCCAGCUCCGGACGGGCUGGGCUGGGCGAAACAGCCGGAUAUGAAGGAACCCAUGAUGGGAUCAAUCAACUGCUGCUGGAGGAGCAGGAGGAGCAAAGCAGGAAGAAGUGGAGGAGAGAGAGGAGGUGAAGGACGGUGCCUCAGACACCUCAGCCCGAUCCGGCUGGACGGGCGCCGCGCCUCCUGCCUCACACUCCAUCUGCGGGCCGGACGGAGAGAGAGAGGGGGGCUGGGCCGCACGGCCCCUCCUUACAGAAGAGAGGCAGAAAGAAAAAAGAGAAAGAAGAAAAGGGGGGGGAGGGUGUUACUGAAGGAGUGAAUGGAGUGAAUUGUGCUGGCCAGGAGGCAGUGAUGUCAGCGGGGGCUUUAUUUACGUCCGACAUGCUGUAGGGAAGCGGUCAGGAGCCUGCUUGGGUGCAGCCUGUGCGGUCUGCUGCUGCUCUGCUGGAGCUAUAAAUAACUACGGCUCCGUUUCUCGGCUCACAUGACCUGAUGAUGAGGGAAAGCGUCGCAUUUAAGCCGCACUUAAGCCACGUUUAUGUUUCAUGAGCAUGCAGGAAAUGAACUGGUGGAAUGUCAAGAAAAUUCUAAUCUAAGAUGCUGCUCUCCAAAGCCUGGUGUGUACCAAAUAAAGAGACUGAGACCAACUGAGCAGGAAAUAAAACAAGAAGUUUCAAAGGUUCCUACCACUGUCUGAUGAACUUGAGUCGUCUGUCUUUCCGAAGAGAAACUCGUACUUGGCCUUGGCAACACUCUGGGCAUGGGAAGAGGAGCUGUUGACCCAAACAAACGUCUCAGCCUGCAGAAAGAGACCUGAUUAAGACACACUGCAACAUCAAUGAAGACUUACACUGUGAUGUAAAAUGCUGAUGAGAAAUAUUCAAGUGAUCAUUACUAGCUACUCAAUUAAAAAAUGUUCACAUUCUCUGUGAAUCUAUAAUGGUUGGCAAUUUAUUGUCCACUUUUAUUUUUAGUGGUUGGCCUUUUUAAAAACUCUAAAAAAUUUGUAGAUUCCUCAUUGGCUGAGACAAUCACAUAGUGACAGUCCUACAUUGAGCUGGAUCUCAAGCCAGAUAAUGUGCGCUUCCCUUUCAAUCAAAAGAUCUCAUUUCAACAUUUCAUACUGCUGAGUUACUCUUUAAAUCUAGGAUGAGACAUGGACAGCAGGCCACUGCUUUGAAAAUAUCACCGUAAAUUUCAAGCUACAAGCUAAGCCUGGAGUUCCCACAGCACUAAAAGGUUAAACUGUUGACGGAGCAGUUGCUAUGGCUUCGUAUGAUUGGACGGGGAAUGCAGGCAUCUAUUCCCAGAGAGUGCUCUUGCACUAGGUCCCCAUACUCAUUUUUUAAUCAAGGGCUUUUGUAGCUGCCGAGUAAUUGACUCAGUGCUACCCACACAGUCAGUUAUUAGAAAUCCCAGACCAAGUCCAAAGAGAGAGAAACAGUCUCCGUUUUACAGUUUAGGCAUAGCUCACACCUCAGUCUGUAGCUCAUAUAAUCAAAGAGUUGCAUAUAUGAGAAAAUGAAAAAAUAAAAAAAUAAAGCUGUCAUAAAGGCGGGCAGUUAUUUA